UACGGAGGGUGCAAGCGUUAUCCGGAUUCACUGGGUUUAAAGGGUGCGUAGGUGGAUUGGUAAGUCAGUGGUGAAAUCUCUGGGCUUAACUCAGAAACUGCCAUUGAUACUAUCAGUCUUGAAUACCGUGGAGGUCAGCGGAAUAUGUCAUGUAGCGGUGAAAUGCUUAGAUAUGACAUAGAACACCAAUUGCGAAGGCAGCUCACUACACAGUUAUUGACGCUGAGGCACGAAAGCGUGGGGAUCAAACAGG
rnacentral:rRNA from 1 species